UACGUAGGGAGCAAGCGUUGUCCGGAUUUACUGGGCGUAAAGAGCUCGUAGGCGGGAGCGCGCGUCUGGAAGGAAAUCUCAGGGCUCAACCCUGGGGCUUUUCCAGAUACGGCGCUUCUUGAGGGCAGGAGAGGAAAGCAGAAUUCCCGGUGUAGCGGUGAAAUGCGUAGAUAUCGGGAGGAAUACCAGUGGCGAAGGCGGCUUUCUGGCCUGUUUCUGACGCUGAGGAGCGAAAGCGUGGGGAGCGAACGGG
rnacentral:rRNA from 1 species